GCGGACAAUUUGAUGAGGUGGAUUUUCAAUGAGCCCAAUAACUUUUUAAACCUCCCAAUGCUGCUCGAUAUUUUUCUGCCGUUCAAGGCUUUUGAACAUUUUUUUAUUUCGUGGGCACAUAUAGGUAGUAGGUAUUGACUAUAGGCUAUGGGUCGUAAUUUAAGAGAAUUUUUUAUAAAGUUUGGACAUGCAAACAUUCACAAUUGUAUAUAUUUACAAUUGUAUAUUUUUGUCAUUUCUUUAACUAUAUUGAGUUAUUGUAAAUAUGUUUUAUAGUUUAUGUAAAUAUGAUAUGUUAUAAUAUAUAUAUAUAUAUAUAUUAUAUAUAUAUAUAUAUAUAUAUAUAUAUAUAUAUAUAUAUAUAUAUAUAUAUAUAUAUAUAUAUAUAUAUAUAUAUAUAUAUAUAUAUAUAUAUAUGUCAAUGUCACACAGUAAUCAGUGUAACAAGCUGUUUGAAAAAUGUAUAUAUGUGUAAUGUCAACUUGGGCAACGUAAGUUGAGCAGCGUAAAUAUUGUAUAUUCUAUUAUAUGUAUAUUUGAAGGGCUUGGGGAAGGUUAUAAUUUCGUUCUACAUUUAUAUACAGUGAAAUAGUAAUGUGUAAGC